rnacentral:rRNA from 1 species
AUUGAACGCUGGCGGCAGGCCUAACACAUGCAAGUCGAACGAGUGGCGGACGGGUGAGUAAUGCCUGGGAAACUGCCCGAUGGAGGGGGAUAACUACUGGAAACGGUAGCUAAUACCGCAUACCAUCGGAUGUGCCCAGAUGGGAUUAGCUAGUGGGGGGGGUAACGGCUGACCUAGGCGACGAACCCGAGCUGGUAUGAGAGGAUGACCAGCCACACUGGAACGGAGACACGGUCCAUAUUCCUACGUGAGGCAGCGGUGGGGAAUAUUGCACAAUGGGCGCAAGCUUGAUGCAGCCAUGCCGCGUGUUUGAAGAAGGCCUUCGGGUUGUAAAGUACUUUCAGCGAGGAGGCGUUACUCGCAGAAGAAGCACCGGCUAACUCCGUGCCAGCAGCCGCGGUAAUUC